UCGCCUCAUGAGCUAAUUUGGCACAUUACUGGUCUGAGUGAGCUGUGGGUUGUCUUCAGGACAACCCCAACCAUCCAGGGAGGAACAGCUAAUAAGAAUGGCACCCUUUGUCCAAAUUCCCAUCCACAGAAUUACGAGAAAGAAAAAGCUGUGGGCUGGGUGCGGUGGCUCAUGCCCGUAAUCCCAGCACUUUGGGAGUCCUCUGUUUCCCCUGUGCCUAUAGGUGCUCUGCUGACCCCGGGCACCCAGAGAAACAGACACACAUUUCCCUAACGGAGUGUUUCCAGGGGCUUCCACUCUGAUAACAACAGCACACUCACAUCACCAAUGAGGUGCUCCUGGUGAUACCCCAGAGAGCUCGGGAUGAGGGCAUGAAGAUGGCAGUUGAGGGACAACUUCCAGAGGGGCCGGCUGCUUAUCUUCA
rnacentral:lncRNA from 10 species